GGCCUCCUGGUGCUUACCACAGGCUGUGUUCUUACACUGACUGUACAGAAAUAGGAGGCAGAGUAAACUUGCCCCAUAUACACCAGGCAAGCCCAUAUAUAGCAAAUGGUGGUAUUAAU
rnacentral:snoRNA from 1 species